UACGUAGGGUGCAAGCGUUGUCCGGAAUUAUUGGGCGUAAAGAGCUCGUAGGCGGUUUGUCGCGUCUGCUGUGAAAACUCGGGGCUUAACCCCGGGCCUGCAGUGGGUACGGGCAGACUAGAGUGCGGUAGGGGAGACUGGAAUUCCUGGUGUAGCGGUGAAAUGCGCAGAUAUCAGGAGGAACACCGGUGGCGAAGGCGGGUCUCUGGGCCGUAACUGACGCUCAUGCACGACAGCGUGGGGAUCAAACAGG
rnacentral:rRNA from 1 species